GUGCUCACUUCGGCAGCACAUAUACCUAAAUUGGAACGACACAGGGAAGAUUAGCAU
rnacentral:snRNA from 1 species